AAGAAAAGUACGUUUCUGUACGGUACAAUGAUAUGCUGAGGUGAAAUGCACAUAUGGGAUAGUGUUAUUUAUUGAAAUCUAAUCAAAAUGUGAGAUUGUGUCUAACAGUAUUGAUCAUUUCUCCCCCCAGGUACCUUAUAUGUGAUUUUCAACUGCCGCGAUUUAUGCAUCAAAUCAGCUAUUUGUUUAAUGACUUGUUUUCAAAAGUGCUUUGUUCAAGUAUUCCCAGCUGACUGUGGUCAAAGUGGCAGUCUACAUCCUGAAUUUUUCACCAAUCAAUUCCAAGAAAUAUAGAGACAGACAACCGUCUUGUGAUGACUUCCUAGCCAAUUUCUAAUCAACACACACACACGCACUCACACACUUUUGUGAACAUUACAAUAUGCCAACAUUUUCCUUAAUUUAUCAGAGAACAAUGCAAAAAAAGAAAAACAAAACAUGACAAAAAUUCUGCAGGAAGUGACUAUACCGUAUAUGAGGGUGUAUAAUUUGGUGCUCAUUGUUUGGCCUUGGCGGAGGUCCGUGUUCCAAUUGACUGUUGUCGUUUGUUGUCGCUGUUCACAAUAAUACAAGAGAUCAUAAUUCAGGAAGAUAUUGGACAAAAAGUUCGACAGUGUAACAGAACCCAUGUAUGUUUAAGAUGAUUGAUUAUUGUUUGUUUUUCUUGACUUGAAUUAAUUAUGGGGAAACUGUGUAUAGUGUAACCCAAAAGGCAAGAAAAAAAAUAAAAUUAUAUUGCAAUGUACAGUAGUUUAUCUACAGUAUUCCAAUGAUAAAUAAAGUACAGUCCUACGUUGUUUUGUCCAACAUCUUUUUACAUUCUCACGCUAAUGUUUUGCAUAAUAAAACUCUCUCUUCCACUGUAGCUUUGUUCUUUCAAACUCUUUUUGUGACGUAGUAGAUGGUAUCAUUUUGUCUUCCUAAACUUUGAAAAUUCUAAUGCAGUAGAAAUAGAUGAGUUGUCAGCUAUACUGACACCAGGAUAAGGAAGCAUGAGAGGGAAUGCAAGAUGAGGGUCUUUCCUCCAUCAAUGACUUUUCUGUGUUUCUGCUGAAAUGUCAAAUCGCGGAGUGUGACAAACUUAGAUACAGUAAAUCAAAAGAAUUGAUAUCAAAUAUUUCAUAUCGAGUGAAUCAAUAUGAGAUAUGUGUAAAUGGAAUGUUUAUUAUUUCUCUUAUAUUUCUGAAACAUGUAUAGAACAAGACUGUAUUAGUUACUUUGUGAACGAAUCUUUAA